AUCCCAUGAUGAUGACAGGAAAGGAUGUAUUCUUGCAGCCUUUCCCAAGCCUCAAGAAUUGACUCCAUCACUGUCUGCUGGAAACUUGAGAUCUUCCCACACAGGGU